AUGAUGAUGAUGAUGAUGAUGAUUGACAUGCUCACAUCAGCGUAUGCAGGUUUGUCAGAUUUCAAAUAUUGUGGCAAAAUUUCAAUAGCUGUCUGGAUAGUCAAAAUGCACCACUUGUCCCCAGAGAGCCAGGCCUCAUCAGGCUGCUGGAAUUACAAAUGCUUUGCCGCAAAGAAAAAUUUCCUGGACAUGAAAGAUCAAAUCAUGGGUUUUCAUCCCUGACACUGGAAGUGGCAAGUCGAUUAAUUUGCAGUUAUGCUUGGUGGACAAAAGUAAACAAUGGCAUCAUCUAAUAUAUGAUCAGAACUUGCACUUUUUCCCCGGGUCUUGGAGCAUACAGGUGUAUCAAUUUGGUGCUACGACAGACAAUUUUUCAGACUGCAGUUAGUGUUGUCCAUGUUUUUAUGUAUUUAUUGAACAUUUAUCCCCUAUCUGGGGCAGGGAAUAUCUAGUUCUGUGCACAAUUUGCGUGGCUGUUUUUGUCUGAGAUGUGUUUUGACUGUGAAGUACGUGCUAAAUUAAGAGUUCACUUUAACUAGAAUAAUAACUCUUGCAUUGAAACAGAGUUGUAAUAUUUAGGGUUCAUUUAUUAUUAUUAAUAUGUAGAGUUGUCCAGUAGUUAAAAAAUACUUUAUACUAUCAUUUGGGAGGUCAA
rnacentral:misc_RNA from 1 species